GACAGAGGUGCCGAGCGUUAGGCGGAAUCACUAGGCUUAAAGCGUGUGUAGGCGGGGCGUUAAGUGUCCGUGUGAAAUCCCACCGCUCAACGGUGGAACCGCCGGGCAUACUGGCGAUCUUGAGCAGUCCAGGGGCGAGCGGAACAAGCGGUGGAGCGGUGAAAUGCGUAGAUAUCGCUUGGAACGCCGACGGUGAAAACAGCUCGCUGGGGACUCGCUGACGCUGAGACACGAAAGCCAGGGGAGCGAACGGG
rnacentral:rRNA from 1 species